UGAGGAAUAUUGGGCAAUGCCCGCAAGGGUGACCCAGCAACGCCGCGUGGAGGAUGAAUGUCGUAAGAUUGUAAACUCCUGUUAGAGGGGAAGAAUAGUACCGGUUGGACCGGUAUAUGACUGUACCCUCAGAGAAAGCCCCGGCUAACUACGUGCCAGCAGCCGCGGUAAUACGUAGGGGGCAAGCGUUGUCCGGAGUUACUGGGCGUAAAGAGUGCGUAGGCGGUUUUCUAAGUUCGGUGUGAAAUCUCCCGGCUUAACUGGGAGGGUGCGCCGAAGACUGGGAAGCUGGAGUGUGGGAAAGGCAGGCGGAAUUCCUGGUGUAGCGGUGAAAUGCGUAGAUAUCAGGAGGAACACCGGCGGUGUAGACGGCUUGCUAGACCAUAACUGACGCUGAGGCACGAAAGCGUGGGUAGCAAACA
rnacentral:rRNA from 1 species